rnacentral:rRNA from 1 species
GACUUUCAAAGUAAGGCAACCUGCCUGUAGACUGGGAUAACUUCGCCACUUCGGAGCUAAUACCGGAUAAUCCUUUUCUACUCUGUAAAAAAGCUGAAAGACGGUUUACGCUGUCACUUACAGAUGGGCCCGCGGCGCAUUAGCUAGUUGGUGAGGUAACGGCUCACCAAGGCGACGAUGCGUAGCCGACCUGAGAGGGUGAUCGGCCACACUGGGACUGAGACACGGCCCACACUCCUACGGGAGGCAGCAGUAGGGAAUCUUCCGCAAUGGACGAAAGUCUGACGGAUCACCGCCGCGUGAGUGAUGAAGGUUUUCGGAUCGUAAAACUCUGUUGUUAGGGAAGAACAAGUACGAGAGUAACUGCUCGUACCUUGACGGUACCUAACCAGAAAGCCACGGCUAACUACGUGCCACCAGCCGCGGUAAUACGUAGGUGGCAAGCGUUGUCCGGAAUUAUUGGGCGUAAAGCGCGCGCAGGCGGUCCUUUAAGUCUGAUGUGAAAGCCCACGG